UUUUUACCCUAACGUAACAUUUGUUUCAAAUGUUGUGUUCAAUCUGUACGAUGUGUACUGGAUAUAUUAUUUGCAGUCCUCUGCUAUUCUAAUAUUGAUAUGUGCUCUUCUGUAAAGUUGCAGGAAGAUUUUGGAGACCAUAGCAGUCCUGUGCAACACUGGAUAUGAGUGUGCAAUAUACCAUCUAAAGGAACCGGCGAGUCAGAAUGUCUGAGAAGAUCAAGUGUGCUUCACCACUGAUGAUGAUGAGCUGGAUACCAGCUUAUGUGCUAAUUUCUUUCAAGGACGGGACCAGAUGUGUUUGGAGUUGAAGACAAUGCUGAAGACCAAAGAAGCAACGGAAGAAGAACAUUUAAGCACUGAGGGUGUCCAGCCUGUUUGCCAUGUCAGAUCCAGCGGCUAGAUGGCGGGAGAUGCUUCAUUAUACCCCUGAUUGCACUGAAUCAUUAGAUGAUCAAUUAAUUAAUUUUAAUAUAUAUUUUUAAAUUAUCUUAUUAUAUUAAAUAAUUGGUCUCAGUUACUAUUUCAUAUAUUAGUUUGAAUAAUAAUGUUUUUAUAAUGUGUACGCCAUGCCCGAGGAGGAUGGGUUCCCCCUGAUGAGUCUGGUUCCUCUCAAGGUUUUUUAUCUCCUUAAGAGUUUUUUCCUUGCCACCGUCGCCACUGGCUUGCUCACUGGGGGUGUUGUGUCAAAUCCUGUGUCCCUCUCGCGUCCCUGCCGACCAGGGUUUCCAAAACAACAGUUUGCGACUCAAUU